rnacentral:rRNA from 1 species
CCCUCCAGUUCGGAUCGGAGUCUGCAACCCGACUCCGUGAAGCUGGAUUCGCUAGUAAUCGCGCAUCAGCCAUGGCGCGGUGAAUACGUUCCCGGGCCUUGUACACACCGCCCGUCAAGCCAUGGGAGCCGGGGGUACCUGAAGUGCGUGACCGCAAGGAGCGUCCUAGGGUAAAACCGGUGACUGGGGCUAAGUCGUAACAAGGUACC